rnacentral:rRNA from 1 species
AUUGAACGCUGGCGGCAUGCUUUACACAUGCAAGUCGAACGGUAACAGGGUGCUUGCACCGCUGACGAGUGGCGAACGGGUGAGUAAUGCGUCGGAACGUGCCGAGUAGUGGGGGAUAACGCAGCGAAAGUUGUGCUAAUACCGCAUACGUACUGAGGUAGAAAGUGGGGGACCUUCGGGCCUCACGCUAUUCGAGCGGCCGACGUCUGAUUAGCCAGUAGGUGAGGUAAAGGCUCACCUAGGCGACGAUCAGUAGCGGGUCUGAGAGGAUGAUCCGCCACACUGGGACUGAGACACGGCCCAGACUCCUACGGGAGGCAGCAGUGGGGAAUUUUGGACAAUGGGCGAAAGCCUGAUCCAGCCAUGCCGCGUGUCUGAAGAAGGCCUUCGGGUUGUAAAGGACUUUUGUCGGGGAGGAAAUCCCCAGCGCUAAUACCGCUGGGGGAUGACAGUACCUGAAGAAUAAGCACCGGCUAACUACGUGCCAGCAGCCGCGGUAAGAC